ACGCUGGCGGCGUGCCUUACACAUGCAAGUUGAGCGGAGGUAAAUGGAGCUUGCUCUAUGAACCUUAGCAGCGAACGGGUGAGUAACACGUAGAUAAUCUGUCCUAUAUUGGGGGAUAGCCCGAUGAAAGUUGGAUUAAUACCGCAUACAGCUAUAUAGUUGCAUGAUUAUAUAGUGAAAGAUUUAUUGAUAUAGGAGGAGCCUGCGGCACAUUAGCUAGUAGGUGAGGUAAGAGCUUACCUAGGCGACGAUGUGUAGCCGGUCUGAGAGGAUGAACGGCCACAAUGGAACUGAGACACGGUCCAUACUCCUACGGGAGGCAGCAGUGGGGAAUAUUGCACAAUGGGGGAAACCCUGAUGCAGCAACGCCGCGCGAGUGAAGAAGGUUUUCGGAUUGUAAAGCUCUGUUAGCAGGGAAGAGGAAGGACGGUACCUGCAGAGGAAGCCACGGCUAACUACGUGCCAGCAGCCGCGGUAAUACGUAGGUGGCAAGCGUUGUUCGGAAUAACUGGGCGUAAAGGAUGCGUAGGCGGUUAAAUAAGUUAUAUGUUAAAUAUAUAGGCUUAACCUGUAGAAAGCAUAUAAAACUGUUUAACUAGAGUGCAGGAGAGGUAAGUGGAAUUCCUAGUGUAGCGGUGAAAUGCGUAGAGAUUAGGAAGAACACCAGUGGCGAAGGCGACUUACUGGACUGUAACUGACGCUGAGGCAUGA
rnacentral:rRNA from 1 species